rnacentral:rRNA from 1 species
CAGCAGCCGCGGGAAUACGAAGGGGGCUAGCGUUGCUCGGAAUUACUGGGCGUAAAGGGAGCGUAGGCGGACAUUUAAGUCAGGGGUGAAAUCCCAGAGCUCAACUCUGGAACUGCCUUUGAUACUGGGUGUCUUGAGUGUGAUAGAGGUAUGUGGAACUCCGAGUGUAGAGGUGAAAUUCGUAGAUAUUCGGAAGAACACCAGUGGCGAAGGCGACAUACUGGAUCAUUACUGACGCUGAGGCUCGAAAGCGUGGGGAGCAAACAGGAUUAGAUACCCGGGUAGUCCCUGUCUCUUAUAC